rnacentral:rRNA from 1 species
UUAGCUUCAGCGAUGGAUCGGUUGUUUCGCGUAUCGAUGAAAAACGCAGCUAGCUGCGUUAUUUACCACGAAUUGCAGACGCUUAGAGUGGUGAAAUUUUGAACGCAUAGCGCCGUUGGGUUUUCCCUUCGGUACGUCUGGUUCAGGGUUGUU